AAUCAACGCGGCGGCGUGCCUCAGACAUGCAAGUCGAACGAUUAAACUUUCCUUCGGGAAAGAUAUAAAGUGGCGCACGGGUGAGUAACACGUAAGUAAUCUACCUUUGAGUGGGGAAUAACAGUCGGAAACGACUGCUAAUACCGCAUAAUGCAGCGGCACCUAAUGGUGACAGUUGUUAAAGUAUUUAUACGCUUAAAGAGGAGCUUGCGGCAGAUUAGCUAGUUGGUAAGGUAACGGCUUACCAAGGCGACGAUCUGUAUCCGACCUGAGAGGGUGGUCGGACACACUGACACUGAUAACGGGUCAGACUCCUACGGGAGGCAGCAGUCGGGAAUUUGGGCAAUGGGCGAAAGCCUGACCCAGCAACGCCGCGUGAAAGGAUGAAGUCUUUCGGGAUGUAAAACUUCGUAAAGAAAUGGGAAAGAUAAAGACGGUACCCAU
rnacentral:rRNA from 1 species